UACGUAGGGUGCGAGCGUUGUCCGGAAUUAUUGGGCGUAAAGAGCUUGUAGGCGGUCUGUCGCGUCUGCUGUGAAAACUCGGGGCUUAACCCCGGGCCUGCAGUGGGUACGGGCAGACUAGAGUGCGGUAGGGGAGACUGGAAUUCCUGGUGUAGCGGUGAAAUGCGCAGAUAUCAGGAGGAACACCGGUGGCGAAGGCGGGUCUCUGGGCAGUAACUGACGCUGAGGAGCGAAAGCGUGGGGAGCGAACAGG
rnacentral:rRNA from 1 species